CCUGCCCCUAGAAGCAUUGCAGGUGUGGCUGCUGUGUCACAAGUCUGUCAGCAGGUGGCAGAGGAGAGAAACUAUGUCUACACUCAGCUCAUGAACUUCCGACUUACGAACAUCUAAAUGAUUAAUAGCCUAACAUU